AAAGAAAAAAGAAAAGAAAAGGAAAAAGAAAGAAAAGAAAAGAAAAGAAAAGAAAAACCCAUGUAGCCGGUUGACCGUGGCUGGAUGCCAGGCACUCACCAAAGCUGCUCACUCCCCUCCACAGAUAGACAGAAGAGAGAAAAUAGAAUGAAGGCUUCACAGGUUGAGAUAAAGACUAGGACAGAUCCCUCAGCAGAUGCCAUCAUGGGCAAAACAGGUUCAAAAUUAGAGACAUUAAUUGAAUUUAUUGCUAUCAAAAUCAAAGCAGGAUAGUGAGAAGUAAAAUAAAGCUUUAAGAAAACCUUCUGCCCAGCUCUGCCUCCUCCCCCAGUGGGCACAGGGAGACAGGCAGUGGGGGUUCUGCUGAGUUCAUCACUCCUUGUUUCUCCUGCUGCUCGGGAGAGGAGUCCUUCCCUGCUGUGCCAGGGGUCCCUCCCCCAGACACUUCUCCAUGAACUUCUCCCGGGUGAGUUCAUCUCAGGGACAGCAGCUCUUCACAAACUGCUGCAGCGUGCCUCACACUCCCAUGGCCUCACAAGUCCUGCCAGGCCCCUGCUCCAGCCUGGGCUCCUCUCUCCACGGGUUUGCAGGUCCCUGCCAGGUCCCAGCUCCAGCACAGCUUUCCCGUGGGGUCACAGCCCCGCUCAGGCACCCCCUGCUCCAGCACGGGCUCCUCCAGGCGCUGCAGGUGCAUCUCUGCUCUCCCUGCCCUCCAUGGGCUGCAGGGCCCGGCUGCCUCCCCAGGGACUGCCCCAGGGAAUCUCAGGGCAACCAGCUCCACACCUGGAGCAGCUCCUGUCCCUCCUCCUGUCCUGCCCUGCUCUGGGAUGUGCAGAGUUGUUCCUCUCACAUGUUCUCACCCUGCUCUUCCCUGCUCACAGUUACAGCUUCACGAUCGCCCACUUUCUUUUUCUUAAAUCUCUUUUCCCAAAGGUGUUACCACCAUUUCCAACUGGCCCAGCCUUGGCCAGUCCAUCCUUGAGCCAGCUGGAAUUGACUCUGUGGGAGAUGGAGGAGCAGCUGCUUCCAGCCUUUCACAGAAGGUGCUCCUAGAGCUCCCCCUUACCCAAAUCUGGCCAUACAAACCAAGUAUAAGUAUGAAAUUCCAGUUCCCAAAGUUUGGGCACAUGGAGGAGGCUGCGAGGAAGAGGAAGAUGUCCCAGGACACCCAGGCAGACAAGGAGCUGAGGAUGGAGAGCAGGGAGGACAAAUCCCCACGGCAGAACCUCGUGGAAGAGGCCGUUUUGAGCGGCUGCACAGCACAGGAAUCCAACGGGGCGGAAAAGCCCUGGAGAUCCCACACGAGGAGGGGCUCCAAACCCAGCCCAGGCUGCUCUGAGGAGGAAAGACCCACCCUGGGCGAGAAAGGUGGAAAGAGCUUCAGAAAGAGCUCAGAGCUGGUUGUCCAUGAGCAUCUUCAUGGCAGGGAGAAGCCCUACAAGUGCUUGGAAUGUGGGAAGAGCUUCAGUCAGUGCUCCAGCCUCCUCACCCAUGUUCGGGUGCACCUGGAUGGAACUCCCUUUGAGCAGGGCCAGAUUUGAGCUGGAAUAUUGGGAUUCUCAGAGCCAGGCUAGCGAGUGUGCUCAGCACAUCCCCUGCCAACCUGGAGAUGCUGCAAGUCCAGCACAGUCAGAGCAGGGGAGAGCCCAGUCACUUCCAGUAGGAGCCCAAAGCUCAUGGAACACCUGGAGGACCCACCCGGAGGAAGAUCUCUACAAGUUCUCUGGCUGCAGGAAGAGCCCCAAGGAAUGGAGGUCCCACUAAAGCCACCACCCGAAGAAGGAGGUGGUGACAGCUCUGCAUCCUAGGGCCCUGGGACCACCAGGGGGGCCCCCAAACCAACACAACAGCAAGUGGCUCAUACAGGCCUUCAUCCUGUCUUCAGAAUCCCACUCUUGGCAUCCCUCAUCCUUCUCUGCAGUCCUCCCUCUAACAUCUCUAAGCCUCUGGGAAGAGCCCAAAGGGAUGGAAGUGCCCAAAAAGCUGCUGAAGUGCCUGAGCUGCUCCCAGCUGUGGAUGUUCCUGUCCGCAAACCUCUACUGGGCUCCUGCCCCAGCUCCUGCUCCCCCAGAGAGUAUUUGGAGAGGGGGCAGAGGGGGUGUACAGCCCCUGAUGGGGGAUGACCCCGGUCCAGCCCCUUUGUACAGCACCAAGCUGGGCUCGGGGCCGCAGCAGGAAGAGCCGAUGGGAAGCAGAUCCUGCAGCUGGGACAGAGCUUGGGGUCAGAGCAAG